CCUACGGGAGGCAGCAGUGGGGAAUAUUGCACAAUGGGCGCAAGCCUGAUGCAGCCAUGCCGCGUGUGUGAAGAAGGCCUUCGGGUUGUAAAGCACUUUCAGCGGGGAGGAAGGCGUUAAGGUUAAUAACCUUGUCGAUUGACGUUACCCGCAGAAGAAGCACCGGCUAACUCCGUGCCAGCAGCCGCGGUAAUACGGAGGGUGCAAGCGUUAAUCGGAAUUACUGGGCGUAAAGCGCACGCAGGCGGUCUGUCAAGUCGGAUGUGAAAUCCCCGGGCUCAACCUGGGAACUGCAUUCGGAACUGGCAGGAUAGAGACUUGGAGAGGGGGGUAGAAUGGCAGGUGUAGCGGUGAAAUGCGUAGAGAUCUGGAGGAAUACCGGUGGCGAGGGCGGCCCCAUGGACAAAGACUGACGCUCAGGUGCGAAUGCGUGGGGAGCAAACAGGAUUAGAGACCCGAGGAGUA
rnacentral:rRNA from 1 species